rnacentral:rRNA from 1 species
GAUGAACGCUAGCGGGAGGCUUAACACAUGCAAGUCGAGGGGCAGCACGAGAUAGCAAUAUUUUGGUGGCGACCGGCGCACGGGUGAGUAACACGUAUGCAACCUACCUCGUACAGGGGGAUAACCCGGAGAAAUUCGGACUAAUAUCCCAUAAUAAUAUUGAAAGGCAUCUUUUAAUAUUUAAAGCUCAGGCGGUACGGGAUGGGCAUGCGGAACAUUAGCUAGUUGGUAGGGUAACGGCCUACCAAGGCUGCGAUGUUUAGGGGACCUGAGAGGGUUAUCCCCCACACUGGUACUGAGACACGGACCAGACUCCUACGGGAGGCAGCAGUGAGGAAUAUUGGUCAAUGGGCGCAAGCCUGAACCAGCCAUCCCGCGUGAAGGAAGAAGGCGCUAUGCGUCGUAAACUUCUUUUCCAGGGGGAGAAUUUUCCGGUCGUGACCGGAAUUGACGGUACUCUGGGAAUAAGCAUCGGCUAACUCCGUGCCAGCAGCCGCGGUAAUAGUGUGUGUAC